CCUACGGGUGGCAGCAGUGGGGAAUAUUGCACAAUGGACGCAACCCUGAUGCAGCGACGCCGCGUGCAGGAAGAAGUAUUUCGGUACGUAAAGCUCUAUCAGCAUGGGAGUAAAUGACGGUCCCUGACUAAGAAACCCCGGCUAACUACGUGCCAGCGGCCGCGUGAAUACGUAGGGGGCAAGCGUUAGCCGGAUUUACUGGGUGUAAAGGGAGCGUAGACGGGAGCGUAAGUCUGCAGUGAAAUCCCAUGGCUUAACCAUGGAACUGCUUUGGAAACUGGGCAGCUGGAGUGCAGGCGAGGUAAGCGGAAUUCAUAGUGUAGCGGUGAAAUGCGUAGAUAUUAGGAGGAACACCAGUGGCGAAGGCGGCUUACUGGACUGUAACUGACGUUGAGGCUCGAAAGCGUGGGGAGCAAACAGGAUUAGAUACCCGGGUAGUC
rnacentral:rRNA from 1 species